CUGACCUCGAGUGGCUCGUAAAUAAUAGCAGCUGAAAGCGCAAAUAACUCACACUCGAAAUCAGGCAGCUCGACAUCUAAGACAUGAAAGCGGCUACAAUAAUAAUUGCAAUUAUCCUCCUUCUGCCUGCUAGCCAGCAAAGCUCUGCAGGUAUGGAACGGAAAGUGCUGUCGUACAAUCCCACCUAUGAAUUUUGGUUCUUUAUGCCAACUGGCAGACCAAGUUAUGUGCCUCAAAGCGUGAAAGACGUCUAUUGGAAAACCAAAUCGGUUUGCUACACCGAUUUUUGGUUUCACUGCGGGAAUGGUAAACCAAUAGCGGUGUAAAUUGAUUUGUUACUGGUAAAAAUAUGAAACAUUGGAUGGGCUUAAUGUGUUUGUGCAGAGACCUUGUAUUAAAAAAGGUAUUAAAACGAUAUUAUUAUACAUCAUUCAUAAAUAAAUAAUGAUUUUGAAUCAAUAAGAGUGCAAACUAUAAAGACAUUGUAAUGUAA